rnacentral:snoRNA from 1 species
AGGCACAAUUCAUUGUCCUGCUCUUUACCUGUAAGAGUAGUGAUAUUUCUAAUGUGCUAGAGAAACGUUGGAGGUAAAUUAGCAGAGUGGCUACUACGUGUCAGUUCUGCCAGUCCCCUUCAUACAGUA